rnacentral:pre_miRNA from 1 species
UUUAUGCGGCAGCCUAGGACUGAAUUGUGGGAGGACUUAUAGACUCUACCCCUUUUCAUUUUUAUGCUGCUUUGGAG